AUACGGAGGAUCCGAGCGUUAUCCGGAUUUAUUGGGUUUAAAGGGAGCGUAGGCGGACGCUUAAGUCAGUUGUGAAAGUUUGCGGCUCAACCGUAAAAUUGCAGUUGAUACUGGGUGUCUUGAGUACAGUAGAGGCAGGCGGCAUUCGUGGUGUAGCGGUGAAAUGCUUAGAUAUCACGAAGAACUCCGAUUGCGAAGGCAGCCUGCUGGACUGUAACUGGCGCUGAUGCUCGAAAGUGUGGGUAUCAAACAGGAUUAUAUACCCUGGUAGUCCACACAGUAAACGAUGAAUACUCGCUGUUUGCGAUAUACAGUAAGCGGCCAAGCGAAAGCGUUAAGUAUUCCACCUGGGGAGUACGCCGGCAACGGUGAAACUCAAAUGAAUUGACGGGG
rnacentral:rRNA from 1 species